GACGAACGCUGGCGGCGUGCUUAAUACAUGCAAGUCGAACGGAAAGGCCCUGCGCUUGUGCCGUGCACGUUUGGCGAACGGGUGUGUAUAACGCGUGUAACAUCCCCUUGUCUUUCGGAGAAAUUCUGGAAACUCGGGCGCAUAUCGGAUAGGAGCUCCUGCUGCACAGUGGGGGAUGGUGAGAGACGGCGGUUGGGGAUGGACUCGCUGCUUAUCAGCUUGUUGGUGUGGUAGGGGCUGACAAAGGCUGUGACGGGUAGCCGGCCUGAGAGGGUGACCGGCGACAUUGGGACUGAGAUACGGCCCAGACUCCUACGGGAGGCAGCAGUGGGGAAUAUUGCACAAUGGGCGGGAGCCUGAUGCAGCAACGCCGCGUGCGGGAUGACGGCUUUCGGGUUGUAAACCGCUUUCGCCGGUGACGAGGCGUGAGUGACGGUAAUGGGUCAAGAAGCACCGGCUAACUACGUG
rnacentral:rRNA from 1 species